ACUGGAGUUUGAUCCUGGCUCAGAUUGAACGCUGGCGGCAGGCCGUAACGACAUGCAAGUCGAGCGGUUGAGGUAGCUUGCUACCGAUGCAGCGGCGGACGGGUGAGUAAUACAUGGGAAUCUGCCUGGUAGUGGGGGACAACGUUUCGAAAGGAACGCUAAUACCGCAUACGCCCUACGGGGGAAAGGGGGGUAUCUUCGGACCUCUCGCUAUCAGAUGAGCCCAUGUCGGAUUAGCUUGUUGGUGAGGUAAAGGCUCACCAAGGCGACGAUCCGUAACUGGUCUGAGAGGAUGAUCAGUCACACUGGAACUGAGACACGGUCCAGACUCGUACGGGAGGCAGCAGUGGGGUAAUAUUGGACAAUGGGGCGCAAGCCUGAUCCCAGCCAUGCCGCGU
rnacentral:rRNA from 1 species